rnacentral:rRNA from 1 species
GACGAACGCUGGCGGCGUGCCUAAUACAUGCAAGUCGAAUGCUUCUUUCCUCCCGAGUGCUUGCACUCAAUUGGAAAGAGGAGUGGCGGACGGGUGAGUAACACGUGGGUAACCUACCCAUCAGAGGGGGAUAACACUUGGAAACAGGUGCUAAUACCGCAUAACAGUUUAUGCCGCAUGGCAUAAGAGUGAAAGGCGCUUUCGGGUGUCGCUGAUGGAUGGACCCGCGGUGCAUUAGCUAGUUGGUGAGGUAACGGCUCACCAAGGCCACGAUGCAUAGCCGACCUGAGAGGGUGAUCGGCCACACUGGGACUGAGACACGGCCCAGACUCCUACGGGAGGCAGCAGUAGGGAAUCUUCGUCAAUGGACGAAAGUCUGACCGAGCAACGCCGCGUGAGUGAAGAAGGUUUUCGGAUCGUAAAACUCUGUUGUUAGAGAAGAACAAGGACGUUAGUAACUGAACGUCCCCUGACGGUAUCUAACCAGAAAGCCACGGCUAACUACGUG